rnacentral:rRNA from 1 species
UGCGUAGGUGGCUAGGCAAGUUUGGUGUGAAAUCUCCGAGCUCAACUCGGAGACUGCACUGAAAACUGCUUGGCUAGAGGAUUGGGAGGGGGGACUGGAAUUCUCGGUGUAGCGGUGAAAUGCGUAGAUAUCGAGAGGAACACCAGUGGCGUAGGCGAGUCCCUGGACAACUCCUGACACUGAGGCACGAAAGCUAGGGUAGCAAACA